GUGCUUGCUUCAGCAUCACAGAUGCUAAAACUAGAAAAGUGCAGAGAGGGUUAGCAGGGCCCCUGUGCGAGGAUGACAGACAAAUUCGUGAAGCAUUCCAUAUUUCA
ensembl:snRNA U6 U6 spliceosomal RNA